UACAGAGGUCCCGAGCGUUGUUCGGAUUUAUUGGGCGUAAAGGGUGCGUAGGCGGCGGAGUAAGUUGGGUGUGAAUCCCGGGGCUUAACCUCGGAAUUGCAUUCAAUACUGCUCGCUUGAGUACUGGAGAGGAGGCUGGAAUUACGGUGUAGCAGUGAAAUGCGUAGAUAUCGUAAGGAAGGCCGGUGGCGAAGGCGGUCUCUGGACAGUUCCUGACGCUGAGGCACGAAGGCCAGGGAGCAAACGGG
rnacentral:rRNA from 1 species